rnacentral:tRNA from 2 species
GGGGUCGUAGCCCAAUGGCAGGAGGCACAGGUUUUAGGUACCUGACAGUGUGGGUUCGAAUCCCACCGACCCCA